GUGGUCUUGAUGCAGACAUGACUUUGACAAACCAGCCUUGCAGUAGCUGCCAGCCGUAUUGAAGAGAUGUUUUUAAUGAGGCAACUUCACCAAAGUCCAGUGGGAGGAUAAGCCUCCACAGAGACGUAAAAUGCCAACAGGGUUCGACGAUUCCAUUCGUCUCUACUGCAGCUUGUCCUCUGUCGGGCAUUUUCCUGAAAUCGCCCCUCUAGUAUCAAGAUGUUGUCACCUGGUUGAAGAGAAGCCUCGAAACGCGUUAGUUUGCAUGCAAAACAGGCAAAGUGCAGCUGCCCUAUGAGCCCUUUGGUUUGGGGGAAAAGAGGCAUCCUCGUCGUGCAAGUAACUCCGUCGUUCCACCUUAAAAAACUCUUCCGGUUUUCCAGACAUCCCCUUUAAGAGAGGCUCCAGGUGCUCCUCGGAGUCAGCAGGGGGCGCUGUCAGACCGCGCCAUCGCUCGGAGCAGACUGUACCAGAGAGAGGGGCACAGCGGGGGGAAUCAAACACAUUUUGCCUGUCCAUUUUUUAUACGGAAUUCGCGCAUAUUUGGUGUUUUCGUUUCACAUGUUUGUUCAGUUACUCCCAGACGUUUUCACACCCCUCGCCUCAAAAGAGACGCACAUUUCCUCCCAGACCCCCCAGUUUGAUCAGAUUUCGUCCCCGGCCAUAUGGGAACAUUUUUGGUUUUGAUUUAAUAUUGAGCUGUGGAACUGUAUAACAAAAAGAUAACAGUGGCGAGGGGGAGAAAG